rnacentral:tRNA from 1 species
GGGGCGGUAGCUUAACUGGGAAAGCAGCGCAAUGCGCGCGAUCCAGGUUCGAAUCCUGGCCGCUCCAUCA